rnacentral:rRNA from 1 species
AGAGUUUGAUCCUGGCUCAGAAUGAACGCUGGCGGCGUGCUUAACACAUGCAAGUCGCACGAGAACGCUUCAGCUUGCUGAAGCUAGUAAAGUGGCGCACGGGUGAGUAACGCGUGGGUAAUCUACCCCCGAAUUGGGGAUAACAUCGCGAAAGCGAUGCUAAUACCGAAUGAUAUCUUAAGAACCUCGGUUUUAAAGAUUAAAGGUGGCCUCUACAUGUAAGCUUCUGUUUGGGGAUGAGCCCGCGUACCAUUAGCUUGUUGGUAGGGUAAUGGCCUACCAAGGCUGCGAUGGUUAGCUGGUCUGAGAGGAUGAUCAGCCACACUGGAACUGACACACGGUCCAGACUCCUACGGGAGGCAGCAGUGAGGAAUUUUGCGCAAUGGGGGAAACCCUGACGCAGCAACGCCGCGUGAGUGAUGAAGGCUUUCGGGUCGUAAAGCUCUGUCAAGUGGGAAGAACCCACAUAGUGUUAAUACCACUAUGUGUUGACGGUACCACUGAAGGAAGCACCGGCUAACUCCGUGCCAGCAGCCGCGGUAAUACGGGGGGUGCAAGCGUUAUUCGGAAUUACUGGGCGUAAAGAGCGCGUAGGCGGUCUUUUAAGUCAGGUGUGAAAGCCCGGGGCUCAACCCCGGAAGUGCACUUGAAACU